rnacentral:rRNA from 1 species
UACAGAGGUCUCAAGCGUUGUUCGGAUUCAUUGAGCGUAAAGGGUGCGUAGGUGGCGCGGUAAGUCGGGUGUGAAAUUUCGGAGCUUAACUCCGAAACUGCAUUCGAUACUGCCGUGCUUGAGGACUGGAGAGGAGACUGGAAUUUACGGUGUAGCAGUGAAAUGCGUAGAGAUCGUAAGGAAGACCAGUGGCGAAGGCGGGUCUCUGGACAGUUCCUGACACUGAGGCACGAAGGCCAGGGGAGCAAACGGG